UUUCUCGUGCCACCUCUUACCGUCUCUAUUCUUCCUUCUUCUUCGACGAGAGUGGAGAAAUCGGCGAUUGGAUUUCUCAACGGAAAUCGUUUCAUCGCCACCACCCCAUUAAUCCAUUUCUGCGCCAUGAAUUCUUCUUUAAUGUUCAUGUAUCUCCUCCUAUUUAUAUCGGGUCAUUUCCGAAAGGAUUCAAUACUCUCAAAAAUCUCAAGAAAGAUGAAUUCCAACAGCAAGACCUCUGUUUCCGGCGAUCUUACCUCCGCGAAGUUGAUCAACUACGCCGGUGAGCCUGUGAACCGUUCCUCUGAAACCGCCAAUUCCUCUGUCGUAGCUAGGCCAAAAAAGCAUAACUGCUGACUCCUCUGUCAACGCUGUCGCCGGUGAAGCUAGGUACAAGAAACGCCAAGGAAAGGCCGUUGUUUCCUCUGACAAGUCCGAUGCAGUUUUGUCCCUGUCGGACCACACGAAGACGCCUUUUGGUCUAGAGAUCCUGCUCAUCAACGAGCAGGGUAUUGUGAUUCCACCAGGGGGGAUUGACACCUAUCUGCCACACUUGGUUCCUGGUUCCAUAUACAGACUCACCAACUUCUACGGGUCUAAGAGCAAAAUUGUGUACCGUGUUGCUGAGCCAAAUGUGACCGUGACUUUCUCUUGGAACUCCGUCCUCUCUGUUUCAGCGGACAGUACGGCUGGGUUUCCUGAGGAUCGGCUCCGAUUCUAUGGGCACAAGGAAUUUGAUGAGGCCUGAGACCGUAAAGGAGACCUUUAUGGUACUGCGCCCUGAGGCUCUGGACCCUGAAGGCAUCUUGGAUGGCAACUUGGAUGAGGAAGCUGAAGAUGGAAAGGGGAAAUCUGCCGAUGAGAAGGUGAAGAAGAGUUCUGAUGUUGUUGAGUCAGCAGAAGUCUAACGGCGCAAUUGUGACUGAAAUUUCUUAUCUCUGUUUUUUGGUUUUAUUAAAGACUAUGCAUUGUUACUUUCCUUUCUAGACUCUGUUUUUGCAGGAUUAGAACCAUUUCGGUAUUACUAUCUAUUGGUUCACUUAUCUUUUUUUUUUUUUAAACCUACAUUGUUUUGGGAGUAUUCAAGUGUUUCAAGUCUUUUAGUUCUUAAGCGUGAAGUUAAGUUUGAUACGAGUAGUGGCAUGUUAUCAAGUUGCUGAAGGACAAACCCAGGUGUUUUGUUUUAAUUUUAAUGUUGUUCAUUUACGA